rnacentral:tRNA from 1 species
AGUUAAUUAUCUUAAGAAAGAAUAUGUUUUGAAAGCAUAAUAAAAAGGUUAAAUUCCUUUAUUAACUU